AUUGAACGCUGGCGGCAUGCCUUACACAUGCAAGUCGAACGGUAACAGGUUAAGCUGACGAGUGGCGAACGGGUGAGUAAUGUAUCGGAACGUGCCCAGUCGUGGGGGAUAACUGCUCGAAAGAGCAGCUAAUACCGCAUACGACCUGAGGGUGAAAGCGGGGGGUCGCAAGACCUCGCGCGAUUGGAGCGGCCGAUAUCAGAUUAGGUAGUUGGUGAGGUAAAGGCUCACCAAGCCGACGAUCUGUAGCUGGUCUGAGAGGACGACCAGCCACACUGGGACUGAGACACGGCCCAGACUCCUACGGGAGGCAGCAGUGGGGAAUUUUGGACAAUGGGCGCAAGCCUGAUCCAGCCAUGCCGCGUGCAGGAAGAAGGCCUUCGGGUUGUAAACCGCUUUUGUCAGGGAAGAAAAGGUUCUGGCUAAUACCUGGGACUCAUGACGGUACCUGAAGAAUAAGCACCGGCUAACUACGUG
rnacentral:rRNA from 1 species